rnacentral:rRNA from 1 species
AUUAAUAAGCGGAGGAAAAGAAACCAACCGGGAUUCCCCGAGUAAGGGCGACUGAAAGGGGACCAGCCCAGCGCAUAACCUCGCGGUCCGUAGCCGGCCGUCGAGGGGUGUUGCGUUUCGGUGGAUCCGUACCGCUCGAGCUGCUCACCGCCUAAGUCAUUGCUUGAAUGCAGCCCCAAGGAGGGUGGUAGGCCCGUGUGGCGGCGCCUGUAAAAAGGUCCGAGGCAGCUUGGGCGGAGGGGUCUUUACCGUAGAGUCGGGUUGCUUAGUACUGCAGCCCUAAGUAGGUGGUAAACUCCAUCUAAGGCUAAAUACUACCACGAGUCCGAUAUUUGACAAGUACCGUGAGGGAAAGCUGAAAAGGACUCUGAAGAGAGAGUUCAACAGGACGUGAAACCAUUAGAAGCUCAAACGGGUGGAACCGUGAAGGUCGAAAGAGGGGAUUCAGCCGGCCGGUCUUCGGCGGCGGUAGCGGUACAAGUUGCAUUUCAGUGAGAGGACCCGGCGUGAACGUGAGUUGCCGUGGCCCCGCACCCGCUGUCCGGAGCCCUGCUGGCUUAGUUCUCCCUCGAGUAGAGGUCGUCGCGACCCGCUGGGCGGGCCCCGAGGGCCGCGCCGGACUGGUAGCCUGCGCUUCGGCGGAGGUGAUGACCGGCUGCGGUGCUGACUGGGCUUGCCCGGCGGUCACUGCAAGGAGGCCGCUUUGAGCGGCCUCUCGCGACGUGAGAGGGAUUGGUAAUCCACCCGA